GGUAAAUGUUUCAUGAUAAGAAUUUCAUGUCUUUUGUAUUAAAGAAUUAAAUGGAUGAAAUAUGAAGUUUUAUUAAAAGAAAAAGGGGUGAAAAGAACAAAGUUUUGUCCAUCUUUGUUCAUCAUAGCUGAAAGUUAGAGAAGAGAAAAGAGAGGAGAAAGCUCUUGAGUAUUUGGUCAUCAGGAGGAGGAAAAUUGAAGGAAAUCCCCAACCAUAGUGGGCUUGGAGCUGUGAGGGAAUUCGGAGUGGUCACCCGUUCUGAAAGUUUGAUUUUCUUCUGGUGAAUUGGACAUCCUUUUAAUUACGUUUGAGGUUUUGGGCUUUUAAAUGUAAUAAGGCCGCUUAAUUAUUUUUAAUGGUUUUAAUAUGUAUUACUAAGAUAGGUAAUACUUAUUUUAACUGUUGAAAUUAGAUAGCUUUAGGGCAAGUUUUCAAAAACAACAGUUGAUUUCAAAAUAACACGACAACAAGCAAAGCUUCCGCAAUGAAAGUAUUUUUUCCAAAA